AUAAAUACCCGUAGAAGUUGAAGCAGCUGCAAAUGCAUCGAACCUCUCCAGCACUUCUAUUAUACAGGACUUCAUAAUCUCUAAUUUCCCUCCUAUUUCCUUCACUCAUAACACGCUCCUUAACCAAAAAUAUUAUAAUCGGUCCAUCGACAUGUAUCUGUGUUGUGCUAAAACAAGAGUACAUUUCUUCCACCUCGAAUUGGAACUUCUUAAAUAUUUCCCUAGUGUACAGUUUUGACAGCUGCAACUCAAAAGAACAUCUGGUUUUCAACAUUGGGCCUGAGCUUCUAGACUCAAUAUCUGCAUUGGUUUCUUCUUUGUGCUUUUUUUGUAGGGCUAGUUCAUACUUGUCAAGAAAUUCUUUCAAAGGAGUUUGUUUGUGCACGUAUCUAUCAAAAAAUGGGUUCAAUGCCUCACCUGGGAGGGCAGCAGACAUUCCAGCAAAAAAUGUGUCUUUUAAAUAAACAGGAGCCCACCGAAUUCGAUCUUCAUACAGUGAUCGUAGCCAUUCAUGAUCAACAACUCCAAAUCGCUGGACCAUGAAUACCCAUGCUGCUUCAAAUUCAAUCACUUUCAAAGUCUCAUACACUGCUUUAAUCAAGGCUUUUCUGAUUGCAUCAUAGUUAAGCAAU
rnacentral:misc_RNA from 1 species